rfam:Thermotoga maritima MSB8, complete genome.
GGCGGCGUAGCUCAGCGGCGAGAGCGGGUGAUUCAUAAUCACCGUGUCGUGGGUUCGAGUCCCACCGCCGCCA